CAGACCCUCUUAUUAUAAAACGCGGUAUCAAAUAAGUAUCGGCUUUUGUACUACCUUUAAUCCAGCUGUAAGUACGACCUUGAAAAAACGUUAUUACAAAACGCAGUUUAUCGAAAGUCCUAUUACUAUCUGUAGUACAAAAGAUAAACCAUCGAGCCCCCUAGUUUAACUGCAGUACUUAGUCGACAAACGUCAAAUUCCGUCAUUAUUUACUUUUGAGGUUAUUUGUUUUGUGAUGAAAAAAACGAAAGUGGAUAUAAAUAUGUGUGAUUUGGAAUACUUGGAUGUGUUAGAAUACUAUUGAGAGUGUCCGGGGACCCAACAGUGUGCGUCAUCGACAAAAUCUCUUCAAAUUAUCUGACGACAAUUUUCGAUAUAAAUAUCGAUUUAUGUUUUUCGAAAUAAUAGUCAAUUGAAUGCAUGAUGAUAAUCCAUGAUGAUCCUAUGAUGCUCAACUGGGCUCGCCAUAAGAUUCAAGACUAUUUUGGCGUUUUGCACGCCGUAUCUUUGCCAGUAAUAUGCAAUGUUUGUAAAAGACUGGAAGCUUGCUAAAAUGUAGGUACAAAAAUGCCAAGAUGAGCAAGGGAACAAGAUUGUGUGAUGAAGAA
rnacentral:lncRNA from 1 species